rfam:Aedes aegypti strain Liverpool supercont1.1443 genomic scaffold, whole genome shotgun sequence.
GUAACAACCAAAUGCCUGCUGACGUUGUCAGCGACAUGCCCAGGUAGUCAGGGUCUUCAAGACUACGUGCGGUUCCCGCCGCAUGGCCUGCCCCGUUCGCUCCGCACCCGCUACGCGAACAUUCAUCCGUUUUUAUGGAUGAAGGGUGC